UACAGAGGUCUCAAGCGUUGUUCGGAAUUACUGGGCGUAAAGGGUGCGUAGGCGGCCCUGUAAGUCAGUGCUGAAAUAUCCCAGCUUAACUGGGAGGGUGGCAUUGAUACUGCGGGGCUAGAGUACAGAUGAGGUAGGCGGAAUUGACGGUGUAGCGGUGAAAUGCUUAGAUAUCGUCAAGAACACCUAUAGCGAAGGCAGCUUACUAGGCUGUAACUGACGCUGAGGCACGAAAGUGUGGGGAUCAAACAGG
rnacentral:rRNA from 1 species